AGCAGCCGCGGUAAUUCCAGCUCCAAUAGCGUAUAUUAAAGUUGUUGCAGUUAAAAAGCUCGUAGUUGAAUUUCGGGGUUAGUAGGUUGGUCAUGCCUCUGGUAUGUACUGGUCUCACUGAUUCCUCCUUCCUGAUGAACCUUAAUGCCAUUAAUUUGGUGUUUUGGGGAAUUUGGACUGUUACUUUGAAAAAUUAGAGUGUUUAAAGCAAGCUAACGCUUGAAUACAUUAGCAUGGAAUAAUGAAAUAGGACGUUCGAUCCUAUUUUGUUGGUUUCUAGGAUUGACGUAAUGAUUAAUAGGGAUAGUUGGGGGCAUUAGUAUUCAAUUGUCAGAGGUGAAAUUCUUGGAUUUAUUGAAGACUAACUACUGCGAAAGCAUUUGCCAAGGAUGUUUUCAUUAAUCAAGAACGAAAGUUAGGGAUCGAAGACGAUCAGAUACCGUCGUAGUCUUAACCAUAAACUAUGCCGACUAGGGAUCGGAUGAUGUUAAUUUUUAAUGACUCAUUCGGCGCCUUACGG
rnacentral:misc_RNA from 1 species